GCGCGCCCGCCCGGGCCAAUCGCCGGCAGCUCACAGUGCGGAGCGAGCGCCUCAAAAGCUCGGGUUUCUCAGCUGAUUGUCUCCAGCCGAGAGUUGUUUGCUGCUGCUGCGGAGCCGAGCCGCGGCCCGAGGAACCGAGCCCCCCGGGGGGAAGGGGAGGCGGGCCCGAGGGCAGCCGCGGCCAUCGCGCGGGGCUGCGACUCCUGUCACGGCGCUGCCCGGGGCCGCAGGCUGGGGCGGGCGGGAGGUCCGGGGGGCGCUCGGGCCGCUUCCUUCCCGCGCUCCCUCCCCGCUGCUCGCGUCCCCUCAUGAGGGUAUCAGUGUCCGGGCCGGCGGCCGCCGCGGUCCCCACGGCCGGCCGCGAACCCUCGACGUCCGGCGGGGGCGCCGUCGCGGCCUCGGGCGCCGCGGUUCCCGGUUCGGUGCAGCUGGCGCUGAGCGUGCUGCACGCGCUGCUCUACGCCGCGCUCUUCGCCUUUGCCUACCUGCAGCUGUGGCGGCUGCUCCUGUACCGCGAGCGGCGGCUCAGUUACCAGAGCCUCUGCCUCUUCCUGUGUCUCGCGUGGGCAGCGCUCAGGACCACGCUCUUCUCGGCCGCCUUCUCCCUCAGCGGCUCUCUGCCCCUGCUGCGGCCACCCUCUCGCCUGCACUUCUUCCCGCACUGGCUGCUCUACUGCUUCCCCUCCUGCCUACAGUUCUCCACGCUCUGUCUCCUCAACCUCUACCUGGCAGAGGUGAUAUGUAAAGUCAGAUGUGCCACUGAACUUGACAAACACAAAAUUCUACUGCAUUUGGGCUUUAUACUGGCAAGCCUCCUCUUCUUAGCAGUGAACUUGACCUGUGCAAUGCUAGUCCACGGAGAUGUCCCAGAAAAUCAAUUGAAAUGGACUGUGUUUAUUCGAGCACUAAUUAACGAUAGCCUGUUUAUUCUCUGUGCCAUCUCUUUAGUUAGCUACAUAUGCAAAAUUACAAAAAUGUCAUCAGCAAAUGUCUACCUCGAAUCAAAGGGUCUCUUGCUGAACCUGGAACUCACCCAUCUGGCAAAAGUAACACAGGCCCCAGGAAUUCUGCCUCCAGCUUUGCGGCCACAGGAUUACAGGCCUAGUGCAGCUGUGCACAGAUUCUCAAGUGGGUGCUCGGAAUUGAACUCUUGUUCUCAUAAUGAACACAGCAAGCAAUUAAUUAACUGAAACAUUUCCCCAUAAGUUUACUUUAAAACUAAACAUGAACAAGACAUUAACUUACUAAGUCAUAUACUUCAGUGUGCACAGAUUUCUACAUGUAAUAUUUUGUAAUAUUUUUCUUAAGAGCUCUUUAUUAAGUUCUUUUCUCCCAUUUUUCUUGGAGUUUAUUUAUUUAUUUGGUUAAUUUAUUUAUUGACAUCCCAAACACUGUCCCCUCCCAGUUCCCUCUUCAGAGUCCCUCCCCAAUCCUCCAUCCCCUUCUCCUCUGAGAGGGUGGGGCCACUCCUACGCUGCAGGAUUCUGCACAUCCUCUCCCACUGAGGCCAGACAUGGCAGCUCUGUUGGGGAAUGGAUUCCACAGUCAGGCUACAGCUUUAGAGACAGCCCCCACUCCAGUUGUUAGAGACCCACAUGAAGGCUGAGCUGCACAUCUGCUAUGUGAGGUAGCCUCUGAGAGGUUCCAGAGCUCCAGGGUAUGUCUCUGUGCCAGACUGUCAUCGUGGGCUCUGUAGUCAUUCUUCUCUACUCUUCCAGAGCUUGUUAUAAUCUGGUAGUGAUCACCAUAUCACAGGAUACCUUAGAGAGUCCAUUUAAUUAUGGCUGGGAUAAUCUUUCAGAUAAGGCUCAGGGAGAAGACGGAAAUGGAGGAGACUACAUUGUCUUUGGAAUGGUCCUCUUUCUGUGGGAGCAUGUACCAGCAUGGUCAGUGGUACUAUUUUUCCGGGCACAGAGAUUAAACCAGAAUCUGGCACCUGCUGGCAUGAUAAGCAGCCACAGCUACAGCUCCAGGGCUUUCUUUUUCGACAAUCCAAGACGGUAUGACAGUGACGACGACUUGCCAAGACUGGGGAACUCACGGGAAGGAAGUUUAUCAAACUCGCAAACUUUGGGCUGGUACGGCACCAUGACUGGGUGUGGCGGCGGCACCUACACAGUCACACCCCCACUGAAUGGACCUGUGACAGACACUGCUCCUUUGCUCUUCACGUGCAGUAAUUUAGAUAUAAGGAAUCACCAUAGCUUAUACGUAACUCCACAGAACUGAUGGCUUUCCUACGGCUGAAGUCUCAAACUGUUUUCCAUGAACGUGUACGUGUAUUCAACAUCUUUACAACCAUCUGCAUCAACACUGCACCAUCUAUUGCAACUAACAAAAGUCUGGAGAUAUAGCUAUGUUUCAUGGUUCUCCGUGUUUUGACCUCUGCAUAGUGAAACGUGAAGUCUGGAGUUGAUUAGAUGCUAAGGUAUUUGAUGACCUCAGAACCUCCUAACUUUGGAACAUGGAGCGCACAUUUGCAUAUUUGCACUUUUACCUAUGUUUGGAAAGAAUAUUCUGCCAUGCCCAAAGCCACACUUGAGGAUUCACACCAGAAUAUUUACACUAAAUCAGGAGGCAGUUUUCCACAAAAAUCAAAACCUAGAAGCCCGAUGGUGUACUCUACCUUACCCAGUGACAGCUUUAAAGUGUGAUCAGUGCACAGAAUUGAGGCUUAAAAAUGCAUUCUUCUUUUUUUUUUUUUUAAUCUAAAAAUACGUAACACUUGAGACAGUUUUUUAAAGCAUGCUUUGAAAAAUAUCAAUUGAAAUUACUCCAUUAUUUUAAACAAGUGAUAGUAGAAAUCCUUUAUGGUGCUGCUGGCUGGCAGUGUUCUUUGGAAAGCCAGAGGGGUUUCUUAAAAGGAACAGUAAGCCAGUGGAGACUGUGUGGCUUUGAAGAGGACUGGUCAAGUGGCUAUCUUGUGACUAAGUAGAAGUUUAAGCAUGACUCUUCCAGAAGCAGUCGUGACCUUUGCACAGGGGGCUUCAGUAGAGUGUCUUGGGACAAAACAAGUUUACAGAUGCAUUUAGAGAUUCUUCAUUGAAAAAAAAAGUGAUACGUUAAAAGCAGUUAUAUUUUCAAAAAGCAUCAAUUUAUCUGAAAGGAGAUGGGGCUCAUCCUACCGUCCGAGGCAAGACUGUCCUCAGGUAAAUUAAAUCAUGAGACAUCUCACAGUGAGCUAAAGUGCAAUACUCUACAAGAUGUAUGUAUAAUCAAUCCCGCCUUUAUUUUCACAUUUUAUACUUUGUAUAUGGCCUAAGCCAAAUUAAAUUAAUUCCAAUCAAUUCCAGCAUGGAAUUAACAAGCAAACAGGAGAAAUGUUAAGAGAUUAACAACAUUGGAAUAUUUUAGGAUUUCAUUAAAACUAUCUUAAAUGAUAUUGUAAGCUGUGUGCCUGUGCACACUCACGUGCACCCUUGUGUUCAUGUGGACACACAAACAUAACACACACACAGUAGUAGGCCCAAACAACACAAAAUUUUAAAAUGUACUUUCUACCCGUGUCUAUAUGGAAAGUAGAUACUCAUACCUCGUAUUCUGAGUGGACAGGCUGUUUAGGAAGCUGUCACACAGGUAAACAUGACCCCACAUAGGAUCUACCAACUGCUUUGGAACUGGGACGAACACAGCUGCCCUCUCCUGUCUACUGUGACUAGAAACUGUCUUAUUUGUACUCAGACCUAAAAUAUCUUUCAGCUUUUUGAUGACUAAUGCAGCAACUUCACAAAAGUAUAUGUGAAUCUUUAAAAACACAUUGUUAAUCCUUCCCGUCCUCUGAGAUGGUACAAAGCCAAAUAUUUUUCUUCUUUUUAUGAGCAACAGAUUUUAAAUUCAAUCAGAAGCAUAAUUAAUAUACAUGACAUUUGUUUAUAAGUUCUUAUUGUAACAAAUCAUUUAAAUUUUUAUAGUACAGAAGUUAGCCUUGGUACUAAGAUACAACCUAACAACAUAGUCUAUCUACCACCAUGGGUUUCUGUUAUUCAGUUUCUCAGAAUGCCAGUUGUUUAAUAUUAGGUAUCUAACUCUAUUGUCUUUGUUAAUCUCUGGGUUCAAGAUUUUUUCUAGUUAAGCUUCUAUAUACAAACCUCCUGUUUGACAAAGUAAACAAGGAUUACUUAAACACUUCAGAUAGUGUUUCAGUUCUUUUAGCGUACUGGUUGACUAUACUGAAUUUGAGAUUUGUUAAUUCAUUAAAUUUAUCACUGACUCGAGUAUUUUUUUUUAAACAGGAUUCUGUAUGUAACCCUGGCUGUUCUGGAACUUGCUAUGUAGACCAGGCUGGUCUGGAACUCACAGAGAUUCUCCUGUCUCUGCCUCCUGAGUGGGAGGAUUAAAGGUUUGCGCCACCACACCUGGCCUAUAAAGUACCUAAAUUCUUAACAUUUGUCUCAUGUACAUCUCACAAUACAUCACCAAAGAAAUCUGCCCCCGUGUUUGCUUCAAAUUUCAGAAGCACUAGCAGCACUUUAAGUUAGGUCUCAGAAGGAGCUGUUUAUCAAGGCAAAGGGCUAUAGUUCCCUGUCCACCUGCACUGAAGCACAUGACAAUUCCAGCCCUUCCUCAGUCAUAAACUAGAAAAUCGAAUUUCAUUGCUUAAGUGUAUAAUUCUACAGUGAUUAGCAAUAUUUAUCGUUUUAUUAGGGUUGCUAUUAAUUUUGAAACUCUUACCAUUUACUGUAGCUGAUUGUAGUUUUGUGGACAAUGUAAUUUAUAGCUAAAGUGACUUUUUUUUAUUCGUAAUUUGCCUUUUUAUUGUUUAACAGUGUUUCUCAGCUAUACAGUCAGUUUCAAACUGGUUGCAAAAGUAUAGCUGUGGCCAAUGAAUGUACUUCUUUGUUUCACUAAAUUAUAAUAAAAUGCUACUGUUACAGAGUG